ACGACCUUACUUGAACAGGAUCCGUUAUAUUCUCUAUAGGCUCGUACCUCUGUGUCCUUGAGUUCUAAGGAGACAGAAACAGAACUCUGGUGGAUGAAUCGUGGGUGGCCGUGGUGAUCAGAGCGUGAUUAACAGCAUAAUGGUUCCUGAACCAAUGAUGCAGUAGAGGACCGUUCUCAGCCAUCCAUGGCUGGGAUGGUCACACGGUUGUCUGACAGACU